rnacentral:lncRNA from 10 species
AAGUGAACGAGACGCCGUCUGCAAUCCCAGCAUCUCGGGAGGCCAAGGCUGGCAGAUCACUCACGGUUAGGAGCUGGAGACCAGCCCGGCCAACACAGCAAAACCCCGUCUCCACCAAAAAUAUACGAAAACCAGUCAGGCGUGGCGGUGUGCGCCUGCAAUCCCAGGCACUCGGCAGGCUGAGGCAGGAGAAUCAGGCAGGGAGGUUUUUAUUUGGCUGGGAGCGUUGGCAGACUCGCAUCUUAAGAGCCGAGCUCCCCGAAGACAGAGUUCCUGGCCCUUUUAAGGGCUUACAACUCUAAGGGGUUCCACAUGAAAGGGUCGUGAUGGAUUGAGAGCACAUGUGGUUAGAGGAGAGGGGGGUGGUUAACCUUUUAACCUCAGGCCAGGUCAUCAGUGGCACUGGCUGGUCUUGCCACUGACUUCCUUCCUGUUGUUUUUCAACUUUUACUUCCUCCUGUUCUUCAGAGACAGGAGACAGUAAGAGAAAUGGCUUCCCUCCUCAUUCUCCCCUUUGAGAACCUCACUCACUAGUGGGAGUUCUCACUUCCACCUACAUUACCUAGGUCUUCCUGCCAGUCCAAUUCCAUUGACUCCUAGAGUUACAUACUCUCUUGUUUUCCAAUGGGGAUUAAGUAGUUCUACUGGGUUGUAGCACACUUGAGUCUGGUCACUUCCUGAGCUGCAUACCUUGUACUGGGUGGCAUU